ACGAAGGUCCCGAGCGUUAUUCGGAAUCACUGGGCGUAAAGGGAGCGUAGGCGGCGUGGUAAGUCAGAUGUGAAAGCCCGGGGCUCAACCCCGGAACUGCAUUCGAUACUGCCAUGCUAGAGUAAUGGAGAGGUAAAUGGAAUUCUCGGUGUAGCAGUGAAAUGCGUAGAUAUCGAGAGGAAGACCAAUGGCGAAGGCAAUUUACUGGACAUUUACUGACGCUGAGGCUCGAAGGCUAGGGUAGCAAAAGGG
rnacentral:rRNA from 1 species